AGCAUCAAAGACCAGGUGGCCACCUCAGCUCCUAGAGGCUAAGAGAUGUUGAAAGAACCUAGAGGGGAGACCCCCACUCAAUUCCCAAUUCAGCGUGCACCCAAGAAUCACAAACAGACCA
rnacentral:pre_miRNA from 7 species